GACGAACGCUGGCGGCGUGCUUAACACAUGCAAGUCGAACGAAGUGGCGAACUGGUGAGUAACGCGUAAUCAACCUGCCCUUCAGAGGGUGACAACAGUUGGAAACGACUGCUCAUACCGCAUACUGAAGGAGGGGAUUGCGUCGGAUUAGCUAGUUGGGGGGGUAACGGCCCACCAAGGCGAUGAUCAGUAGCCGGUCUGAGAGGAGUGACGGCCAAAUUGGGACUGAGACACGGCCCAGACUCCUAAGGGAGGCAGCAGUUGGGAAUCUUCCGCAAUGGAAGGAAGUCGGACGCAGCAAAGCCGCGUGAGUGAUGAAGGCCUUCGGGUUGGAAAGCUCUGUUAAUCGGGACGCGGUACCGGAAUAGAAAGCCACGGCUAACUACGUGCCAGCCGCCGCGGUAAUAC
rnacentral:rRNA from 1 species